UGCAGUCGAGCGGUAGCACAGAGAGCUUGCUCUCGGGUGACGAGCGGCGGACGGGUGAGUAAUGUCUGGGAAACUGCCUGAUGGAGGGGGAUAACUACUGGAAACGGUAGCUAAUACCGCAUAACGUCGCAAGACCAAAGUGGGGGACCUUCGGGCCUCAUGCCAUCAGAUGUGCCCAGAUGGGAUUAGCUAGUAGGUGGGGUAACGGCUCACCUAGGCGACGAUCCCUAGCUGGUCUGAGAGGAUGACCAGCCACACUGGAACUGAGACACGGUCCAGACUCCUACGGGAGGCAGCAGUGGGGAAUAUUGCACAAUGGGCGCAAGCCUGAUGCAGCCAUGCCGCGUGUGUGAAGAAGGCCUUCGGGUUGUAAAGCACUUUCAGCGGGGAGGAAGGCGGUGAGGUUAAUAACCUUGUCGAUUGACGUUACCCGCAGAAGAAGCACCGGCUAACUCCGUGCCAGCAGCCGCGGUAAUACGGAGGGUGCAAGCGUUAAUCGGAAUUACUGGGCGUAAAGCGCACGCAGGCGGUCUGUCAAGUCGGAUGUGAAAUCCCCGGGCUCAACCUGGGAACUGCAUUCGAAACUGGCAGGCUAGAGUCUUGUAGAGGGGGGUAGAAUUCCAGGUGUAGCGGUGAAAUGCGUAGAGAUCUGGAGGAAUACCGGUGGCGAAGGCGGCCCCCUGGACAAAGACUGACGCUCAGGUGCGAAAGCGUGGGGAGCAAACAGGAUUAGAUACCCUGGUAGUCCACGCCGUAAACGAUGUCGAUUUGGAGGUUGUGCCCUUGAGGCGUGGCUUCCGGAGCUAACGCGUUAAAUCGACCGCCUGGGGAGUACGGCCGCAAGGUUAAAACUCAAAUGAAUUGACGGGGGCCCGCACAAGCGGUGGAGCAUGUGGUUUAAUUCGAUGCAACGCGAAGAACCUUACCUGGUCUUGACAUCCACAGAACUUUCCAGAGAUGGAUUGGUGCCUUCGGGAACUGUGAGACAGGUGCUGCAUGGCUGUCGUCAGCUCGUGUUGUGAAAUGUUGGGUUAAGUCCCGCAACGAGCGCAACCCUUAUCCUUUGUUGCCAGCGGUUCGGCCGGGAACUCAAAGGAGACUGCCAGUGAUAAACUGGAGGAAGGUGGGGAUGACGUCAAGUCAUCAUGGCCCUUACGACCAGGGCUACACACGUGCUACAAUGGCAUAUACAAAGAGAAGCGACCUCGCGAGAGCAAGCGGACCUCAUAAAGUAUGUCGUAGUCCGGAUUGGAGUCUGCAACUCGACUCCAUGAAGUCGGAAUCGCUAGUAAUCGUAGAUCAGAAUGCUACGGUGAAUACGUUCCCGGGCCUUGUACACACCGCCCGUCACACCAUGGGAGUGGGUUGCAAAAGAAGUAGGUAGCUUAACCUUC
rnacentral:rRNA from 1 species